rnacentral:rRNA from 1 species
GACGAACGCUGGCGGCGUGCCUAAUACAUGCAAGUCGAGCGAAUGGAUGGGAGCUUGCUCCCUGAAGUUAGCGGCGGACGGGUGAGGAACAAGUGGGCAACCUGCCUGUAAGACUGGGAUAACUUCGGGAAACCGGAGCUCAUACCGGAUACAUUCUUUCUUCGCCUGACGAAAGAAGGAAAGAUGGUUUCGGCUAUCACUUGCAGAUGGGCCCGCGGCGCAUUAGCUAGUUGGUGAGGUAACGGCUCACCAAGGCAACGAUUCGUAGCCGACCUGAGAGGGUGAUCGGCCACACGGGGACUGAGACACGGCCCAGACUCCUACGGGAGGCAGCAGUAGGGAAUAUUCCGCAAUGGACGAAAGUCUGACGGAGCAACGCCGCGUGAGCGAAGAAGGCCUUCGGGUCGUAAAGCUCUGUUGUUAGGUAAGAACAAGUACCAGAGUAACUGCUGGUACCUUGACGGUACCUAACCAGAAAGCCACGGCUAACUACGUGCCAGCCGCCGCAGUAAAAC